UCCAGGCUUCCAUUACAAAACCCAGUGGAUUUGUUUUGUAAAACAAUAAUUUGGAAGGACAACAUUUCAGCUAUACCACCUAAAACAAUGACGGUUGGAGCAGUGGGAAGAGCAAGAAGUAACUGAAUUUUGAUGUGCUAGAAGAUCCUUGUUUUGCCAGAAAGUUCCAGAUUUCUGCUGUCCAGGGAAGUCAGUCUGUCCUCUCUAGAAUUACCACACCCGGCACUUCUUUUCUGGAUUCAUAUAAU